GCAGCAACGGAGAACUGAACAGUCUCUGCAGCCGGCCAGUCCGCAGACACCGCGGGAGACGAAUCCCACCCGGGCUCGUCUGGACCAGCUUGGGACACACAGGAGGACAGAGACAGCGUUGCUUUGCAAAGUCACCAGUUCAAAGAAGUUCCUUCCCGUGUGUCGGGAGUGAGAGCAGCUGAGUCCUAAGAGCACAGGGUCGGGAACCAGGUGUCCAGGGGACAACUCCUGAGCCUCUUGGGAGAGAUGAGCCCAGAGAAUGGUUCUAGAUUUCUUCUGGGCUUUGCACAGAGGGUGGAGGGGAAAGGGCCGGUCCUGACCUGCAAAGAGUGGAGACAGGAGAGAGACCCACGUUCCAGCUUCUGUGUCUACUGUCGUGGGUGCUCCAGCGUGGAGACGGGUCUGAGGCCAAGCAUCUCACAGCACCGCUCUUCCUCCCUGGAGCACCAGGGAAGGAACUGGAAACGAGGCUGGUUGCUGCUGCUUCAAGACUGAUACAGCCACCACACUGGGAAGAAGGUGGGACCAGGACGCUUCUAGCGACAUCGCCUGCACCAGCUCAUGCCCUUCGCACGGCAGCAGUGGAGCAGCACCUGGUUCUGUUUUCACUUGAGAGAAUGUACAAGACGAAAGGCAGCAGCCAACCUGCCGCAGAGAGACCUCACAUGACGCAGAGGUUGGGCCCCGCUUCCUCCUGCGAGGCCAAGGCUGUCUCGGUCUGGUAAACACGGGCAGUCGCAGGGCAUGGCAUCUGCAGGGCAGAGACCCUGAGCCAGUGUCAGUCUUAGGUUAUUACAGCUGUCCAGGGGUUUACAGUUAAGAAACAUUUUUUUUUUUUUAGGAAUAUAAAAAUAUUUAUUGACCGCUGUUCACCAGUAUUUACAAUAAACAGUAUACAGUUGGAUACCAUUCUGAUUACUACAAGGCUGUUCUUCCUGGCUUCUGCAGAACCAGCAACCCAAAUACUGAAAAGAUUGAGCCUACAUGUAAGAAAUGAAUUGGGGUAAGAAAAAACAUGCAGGUCAAUAGUUUAGAUUACAAAAAGUUUGUUCACUCAUUUAUGUCAGCAGGUCUGAAACUGCCAA